rnacentral:rRNA from 1 species
GUCUGGGAUAACCAGUCGAAAGACUGGCUAAUACCGGAUAAGGCCCCCGGGAGCUUCGGCUCCUGAGGGAAAAGGUGGCCUCUGUAUACAAGCUAUCACACCUGGAUGAGUCCGCGGCCCAUCAGCUAGUUGGCGGGGUAAUGGCCCACCAAGGCAACGACGGGUAGCUGGUCUGAGAGGACGAUCAGCCACACUGGAACUGAGACACGGUCCAGACUCCUACGGGAGGCAGCAGUGGGGAAUUUUGCGCAAUGGGCGAAAGCCUGACGCAGCAACGCCGCGUGUGUGAUGAAGGUCUUCGGAUUGUAAAGCACUUUCGACCGGGACGAAAACCCUCAACCUAACAUGUUGAGGCUUGACGGUACCGGGAGAAGAAGCACCGGCUAACUCUGUGCCAGCAGCCGCGGUAA